UUUUUUUUAAACCUCUCCUCUAAUCACCCCAGCCCUUUAGUUAUGUAAAUGACUCCCCAGGGGAGAGCUCCCAAUCCCUCAGGGACUAGUAGGUCUGCACAGUCCGUGGCUCGUGCCUCAGCCUUCUUGGGGUCAUUUCUCGGACAGCAGAGGGGAGGGGAAGGACCUGAGGUCGGGUCAGAAUGCAGGGAGGCUGGGUCCUAGAGGUGCGGCCUGGCCACGGGAGGAGGAGAGUGGGCCGGGUCUGCCCUCUCUGUCCCCUCCCACUCAGGCGGAAUCGCUGUCUCCUUCUCUCGCUCAAUCCCGCAGCUUCGCUCGGCAGCCGGGUGAGCUGUGCCCAGUCGCUCUGUGCAGUCCCGCAGCGCAGCCACCAUGUACGUCUGCAGGGCUGCCUGGCAGGCGCUAGCCGCUCGCUUGGCCAGCGUGUCCUCCACUGCCACCCUGCUCAGAAAGCGCGCACCUCUUCGCCAGAUGUCAUCUGGCAGCGUCCCUGGCUCUUCUGGGGAGAACCUGAUUUACUAUCUGUUUGCUGGUGUGGCGUGCAUUGCUGGUGGAUAUUAUGCCUACAGAACAGUCACGUCAGACAAAAAGAGGUACAACGAACGUAUUCACGCUAUUCGGCAGAGUAAUACAGCUGAGUGGAAACCAAAACCCUGGCCACCCCGGUGUGAUGAACUGGAGACAGCUGAAGACACUGAAGCAAGUGAGCAGGCCACAGAGGCACCUACAGAAGAGACUGAAGCACUAACUGCUGAUGAAUCUACAGAACAGAAUGAGAGGUCUAUGGUGUCCACAGAAGCUGAAGGGGAAAAAGAAUCGCCAGUUGCUGAUGCAUCCUCUGCUGUGGAGGAAGCACAGCAGGAAGCCACUGCUAGCUUGGAGGCUGCCCAAGUGCAAGAAGUUGUGGGUGAAGACUUGGAUGUUGCUGCAGCUUCUGCUCAUGAGGACAACAUGGACAGUAUUCAAGAAGGAACAGCCUCAGCAGCUCAAGAGAUGCCUGACACAUCCUCCAAGAACCAGGAGGCUGUUGAGGAUGAGUCUGGGCAGGAUUCAGAAGCUUCUUCGGCAACAACGGGAUCUCAAAAAAUUCCUAAGGAUUCUUAAAGUGAGCAACAGUGACACCAUUGAAGAGUUUCACAGAAAUAUGUAUGACAAUCAACCAGCUGACAGAUGUUCUGAAAUCUACUGCUCUUCUUUGGAAAUAUAAAACAAAUCUUGCAGCAAGUGCUGACUGUACUUCUCAAAACGUGGGUGUUGGAGAAUGCCCAGUUGCUUUCUGAAGCUGCCCUUUCACAAGAGUGAGAAGUCUGUCAGCCUUCAGGAAGAAAGAUCCUUAGAAGCAGAGCUCAAUCCAGGACUUGUUUAGGGUUUCCAGAGGCUUUUAACCGAAUUAAAGAAUCUAAUCACUCCAGUGCAAAUUGUACAGCUGCUUCUUGUCAUAGCUCUUUUUUUGAAAAUAUGUCCAUAAUGCUUCUGCAACCUACGCUACAAGAAAUCUAGCGUUGUACUGUAAACUCUUGCUGAGACUACAUGUUAGCACAAUAUACAGUACUGCCUACUGGCUAGCUAUGGAUUUGACGUGUGAUGGUAUUUCGUAGUAUGUACAGUGGUGCUCUAUGUAGAAUAGCAAACUACUGUACAACAUGCAAAGUACUUAAAAGACGUUUCAGAAUGUAAAGAUAAAAUGUAUCCUCGUCUAUGAUCACACCACUCUUGAUAACAAUAAGAAUAAUACUUAGUGCUUAUAAUCUGAAGGUGGCAAAAUGCUUUACAAAGGAUGGUAAAUAUAAUUAUCCCUGUUCUGUAGAUGAGGAAAACAGAGGUUGAGGUGGCUGAAGUAACUUGUCAAAGUCACACAACAGCUUGAUGGUAGAGUAGGGAGUAGAACACAGGCUUACUGAUUCCUAUCCAGGUUCCUGUUGGUUUUGGAUCAUGUUGCCUCCAGGUAAGAUCCAUACCUAUCCUGAGUACGUGGAGGGUGCUCAUUAUUGUAGUAUUUAGGCAGUUAAGGGUUUCUCUUAGCUUAGCAUAUAGGUAGUUCUGGUUGCAUGAGAUUAGUUUUGGUGAUAAGUAUUACAGAACACAUUUAGAGAAGAAGGAAGGGCUUCCCCCCUCCAACAGAAGGCAGUGCUUUCAUUAAAAUGGUAAUACCUGAGACUGAACAAAUCUGAACAGUGCAGAAGAAUUCUAUUAUGUCUGUACAGAGCAAGAGCAGUUCACAAAAUCCUGUGAUGCCCCCACAGCUGACUUUGGGAGUUUAGGAUGACUAGUCUGACAAAUUGUUGACCCCUCCCUAAAAACAUAACUGAGCCAUUUUAAUGAAAAUGCUUCCUCUGCUGUCAGAGAAGUGGGGCCCAUACGCUUGUGCUGGGGGCCUUGGCUAGCUGUCAGCAUCUAAUAUUUUUAUCAAGGGACAAAUCUUCAGAUAAGACAAGGGUCUGAUGGCUACUAGGCUCUCACUAAGCAUAGAGUUGUGAGUAUUCUGGUGUAUUUAUGUCCUGUAACCCCCUCCCCCCCCCACCGCUCUCCAAUCUUCUACCUGUUUAUAGAAUCUAAAGUGACUAACAUUGUUAAUAUAUUAAUACACAAAA